CUCCUUUUCAGUUUUUUUUACGACAGGAGCGUUUCAUCUCCCUGCUCCGUGGCGUUGUUUCUUCUUCCCCUUCCGUUGUAGCAUUUCUUCUCCUUGAUCCUCAACCUCUCCUCCUUCUCCGCCUCCGCCUCCUCCUCCGCCGCGAAUGGGAGCGACACCGUCGCCGCUGUAUUUCUCUCUCUCUAGGGUUUCCACUUCUCGAUCUUAUUGCCUUAUCAAGGGUUUUGGUUUUCAUAUUGUUUAGGAUGGAUUCUAAAAAUUGAGAGUUAAUUAUUCCUAAUAUAUUCCUCCGCCUCCGCCUCCACCUUCUCCUCCGCUACGAACGGGAGCGACGCCGCCGCCGCCAUAUCUCUCUCUUUAGGCCGCACAGAGGCACAGAGCAUUACAACACGUGACUAGCAGACUAGGGUCUCUCUCUUUGUCUCUCUCAAAGUCGCACAAGGGCACAGCCGCCUCUCCUUCUCUAUCUCUCUCAAUCUCUCACAAGUUCACAACCCUAGAUCGCCAUUCGCACACCCUCGGCAGCGAUUCUUCGCCGUUCGCAAACUCCCGGCAGCGAACUUCGGCGGCGAACUUCGGCGGCGACGCUUUCAACAGAGAUUUAGGUAGAUCUUGCCGGAUCAGUGUGAAAUCCACCGUCGCACUCGCACAUCUUCCUCCCCUUCAUGGCUUCAUUUGAAGAUAACUUACAACAAGUUGGAAUUUGAUCGUGAGGACGUAUUUAAUUGAACAACAGAGAUAACUCGAAGAAAGGCAAGUAGAAUUAGUAAGUUCACAAAAUCACAGUUUUCAUUUCUUGUAUAGUUGUAGACGCCAUAGUAUGUGCUGGAAAUUGGAUAAGAGCUUCACAAAAGUUUACGAAAUCUAAAUCUCAAGAGAUUACUGAGUUGGAAGAUCUGCAUAUUAGUAUUUGUGAAAAUAGCACACUAUCAUCAUUUCAGGUUGGAAGCACAGCCACAAAGUAAUCAAGAGUUGUAUUUGAUCACUUGAUGUACACUUUUCAUGAUGGAGGUUGGCAAUUUUAACUAUCAUUGAAAAGUAAUGGUUGGAUGAAACUUGUAACUUUAUCUGGGCAAUUGUUAAAUUUUGUUAGACUUCAAAUUAUUAUGAUGGUUGGGUACUUGGUACUUGGGUUUAUGCCUUUAUGGUUUCUUUUUGCCUAAAGGCUACUUAUAUCGUUAAUAUUUUUAUUUUAGAGUGCAUUUGGACUUGUAUUGUAACUUGUAAACUUGCUAUGUGUUUUAUUUGGACAAUGUGUUAUGUAGUAAAGAAGUUUAUAUUGUUGUUCUUACUUGUAAA